UACGUAGGGUGCAAGCGUUAAUCGGAAUUACUGGGCGUAAAGGGCUCGUAGGUGGCCAACUAAGUCAGACGUGAAAUCCCUCGGCUUAACCGGGGAACUGCGUCUGAUACUGGAUGGCUUGAGAUUGGGAGAGGGAUGCGGAAUUCCAGGUGUAGCGGUGAAAUGCGUAGAUAUCUGGAGGAACACCGGUGGCGAAGGCGGCAUCCUGGACCAACACUGACGCUGAGGAGCGAAAGCCAGGGGAGCAAAGCGGG
rnacentral:rRNA from 1 species